GGAGCUGGACGUUUCCUUCAUCUGGAACAGCGCUCAGUACCUUUUCCUCUGCUGCCCAACGAGCCGGCCGAAGGCGCAGGCCGAGGGGUCGAGCUGGCCCGAGAGCCUGCGGAUGUGUGUGCAUCCUGCCGGAAGCAGCAGGGCUGAGCAGGAAGUUGCAAUUACAAGAGGGCAGGGCUUCUGCAGAAGCUGAGCGGUGCUGGCUCAGAGCAGCCAGGGCUUAUCCAAGGAAGGUAUGUGCGGGGGCUCCCGGGACCAGGAAUCGAACCGGCGCCACAGCAGUGAGCCGAGCCACUGCAGCAAUAAUGCCAGAUCCUUAACCCUCAGCACCACAAGGGAACUCCUCGACUGCUUCUUAACUUUUCAAGAUAAUUAUCAUUUGGGAUGAAGUUUCUUACUCUUGAAUCAGAGCCAAGGGACCUUUUUUUUUUUUUUUUUUCAGUUCCUCCUCCCUGACCAGCUCCUCCUUGUUCACUUCCUCCAGAACCCCUCCACGCAGCCUCCACGCACCUCUCUGAAGAGUGACCCAUACCUCGUCACCCACUGGCUUCAAGAUCGCCACUGACCCCCCGCCUUUUCCUGCAAGGAGCACCGCAGCCCGCAGGGUCAGCUCCAUCCUCCGGAGUCCUCCGGAUGCAGCCCGGCCUGAAGUCCUUCCUGAACACCUGUCGUCAGCAUGACAGUGGAAUCUCUCAUAAUCAGCUUCAACUGGUUCCAAGCCAGGGGACCCCCGGGCACUGGCCCAGGAUGGUUGGAGUUCACGCCGGCUUAUGCUGCUGUUCUUGCUGGUGAAUGGUGUCCCCCGCUUCUCUCACAAAUGUCCUGCUUUGGAAAAUAAGUCAUAUGG
rnacentral:lncRNA from 1 species